rnacentral:rRNA from 1 species
UACGUAGGGUGCGAGCGUUGUCCGGAAUUACUGGGCGUAAAGAGCUUGUAGGUGGUUUGUCGCGUUGUUCGUGAAAUCUCACGGCUCAACUGUGAGCGUGCGGGCGAUACGGGCAGACUAGAGUACUGCAGGGGAGACUGGAAUUCCUGGUGUAGCGGUGGAAUGCGCAGAUAUCAGGAGGAACACCGGUGGCGAAGGCGGGUCUCUGGGCAGUAACUGACGCUGGAGAAGCGAAAGCCGUGGGGAGCGAACAGG